UCCGUCUCCAUCGCGCUCACCGGCGCCAGGGCUGCCUCCAAGCUCGCCAAGCCGGACUCUUCGCAGCUCGGCUUCUUCCUUUGGUGAUAUAGAAGAUGAAAUUGUUUGUUCUUGUAUUCUGUUACAUGGUUUGGUUUUGUUAGCCAGAUUCAGUCUUUCUUUAUCUCAGCUGAGGUUGAUGUGGGUUUAUUGGCAGAUUAUUUACAAAAGAAAUUGUUUGAGGUCAAGAGUUGAUGCCAAAUGUCCUGGAUCAGGACAACUCCUGGGAAACAAGGCGAACGGUAUGUGCGUGCAAAAUUGAAAAUUGUACUAGAUAUGUGUAGUUUGCUCCAGGAUCCUAUAUCAGUGUAUUUGCUUCGUGCAGUUCCCUAUGUCAUCCAUUAUAUUUAUAUAGGGAUAAAUUUCCACGGGUUGUUGUAAGCAAAACUCCCUAUGUACCGGCACUUGUCUCUUUACAGACUGUCCGGGCUUUCUAGAUUAGAAUAUAAUUGUUUUAGAUAAUUCGAAAUAAGUUUUUACGCCAGCUUGCACCUUUAUUAUUUGCAGCCGGGAAGUCUAUUUCUUUUCUUUUUUUUGAUUCAAAACUAUUGGCAUGAAUUGGCCCUUGCAUUUGGUCUGAGCACUUACAAUAAUUCCAACCUGUCAAUUGGGGACAGAUAUGUCCAUCACACCUGUACCUUUUAUUCAGUUUGAGGAGGAAUAAGUAGUCAAUUGGCUGAUUAAUUAUGUUUCAUGUGAUUUGUAUAUGGACGCAGUUGCAACAGUUAGCUGCAUCAACUAUAAUUUUUCUUUCGCUGGCGGGGCAUGCAUCCCGACGAGUUAUACAAUUUAGCUGAUUUAAUUCGUGGCCUAACAAUACUUUUGGUAAUAGUUGUCAAGUAAAAAAGGAUCUGCUUUUUCGUAAUGAUGGCCAAAUAAAAGAGGAUCCAAACCCUCACGAGUUUACAUUGUACAAAGCUAUUAUGUGCUGACAAUAAUUUUUCUAAGUUGCUCUCUACAUCUCGGUGUUAUUAGUCUAAAUAUUCUGAUUCCAAAGGAUGUUUUCAAACAUCAGAUCUUUUAAUAAAUUUGAAACAACAUAUCUUUCUAAUUUUGGUUCUGUCUAAAAUGAUGAAAUUCAAUUUUGUUCUACUGCAUAUUAGCUUAAUCAUCUUCACCAGCAGUAUAUAUUGCAGAUAAUUGUGUUGGUUUGGUUUUUAGCAUGUAGGUAUGAUAUGGUAAGCCUCCAGUGAAGGAGGGGCUUAGAAAAAGAGAAACUGUUCUAUUUGAUAUACAAUGUAAUUUGGAAAUUAAUGGCAGAAGGCUCCUAAACUAACAUAUGAUGUUUUGUUUGAAUUUCUCUUUACCGGAUUGUGUUACUUCUGCGCAGUCACCAUACUUGACAAGGGUCCCUGAUUUUAUCACUUCCGUUGACGAGUCUUGUGUCAGCAUCUUGAUGCGAGGUACAACUUCUAGGUGAUCUUCUUCAUGUUUUACGUUGUUGUACUUUUUGCUGCAAUGUGGACGUACAUAUUCUAGCAGAUAUAUCUUCAUGCUUUACCUUGUUUACCACUGCCCUGAUGUGGAGGUACAGAUUCUAGCUGAUAUAUAUCGUCAUGUUUUACCUUUUACCAACAUCCAAGAUUUUUGUUUCCUCAUUUCUUUCAAUUAGAUAGAAGAUGGGACGUGCUUUGUUGUAGUUUCCUCUUACUUUGACUAAGUAGGACAUUUUUUUGAAAUACCAAAUUGUGGUGUCGCUACCCCUACGCACCACGGUUUUGCAGCACCCUCAGCUAAAGUAAACCAUUCCAAGCCUACCAUACUCGAAACAUGGAAGCAUGCAAACUUCAGAGCAUCUUGGUGUCGCUGGCCACCCGAUCUCUACAACCACCACAAAAUGCUACAGGACCAACCAGGCCGGUGUCCUGACCACUGAAUCAUGUCACUGUGUGGGCGCCUAGAUCUCCCAUGUGUCUGUCUAAAGCCUGAGGGGCCAACCUCGCUCGAGCGUCGCCAGCCAGCACUCAUCUGCACAUGAACAAAUGGUUGGAUAUAUGUGCCUCCUCCGUCUCUUAUUCCCCGAAACAUAAUUUGAUGAGUAGAGUUUCUAAUCAUUUAUGGCACACUGGCAUAUGAUUAAACUGCACAAGUUAGAUUGACAUUUUGUGGAGAACGGUCGUCGGUUGGGAGCCUCGCCGUCUACCUCCACCAGCCGGCCCACACACCAUUGCUCCCCGCGUGUCGCGCCCCUCCCCGAACCAUCAUGCCUUCUAAUUAGUGUACGUGGUAGUCUGGUAAAAGUGGAGAAUAAUUCGGGUAAUGUCUAUGGAUGUACUACCAGUAUUGCGGCUAACCUGCCUGGCAGUGAGAUGCAUCUAGAUUAGAUCUGAUUACUGAUAUAGAAGAUGCAAUUAAUUAUCUAAAAUUUUCCUUGUACCAUUUUCCAUGAGAUUAAUGUAAUUGGGAAUACCAGUGCUUGUUUGAAUCAUUUAGUUAAAUAAUUUUAUAGAUAAAACUUGUAUUUGUAUGUUUUGGAAUUACUAUUAUCCUGGUAAAAUGACCACAAGUGAAAGGGUUGUAAAGAUUAAUUAUUCUUUGUGGAAGCAUUACUGGUCUAAUUAAUAGAUGUACAUGCAUCAAUAAUGUUGUUGAGCUUUAGUUGAUUCUAUAGUGUUGUACUAUUCGCAAAGUUCUAUUUUGAGAAAAAAAUGGCAAAUUCAAUAUUGUGCCAGCUAAAUGGCGCACCCGCUGUAGCAAGUGAGUUCCCAUCAAAAUCACCCUGAGCAUAUUUUUGCUGAUUUUCAUGAUUGCUCUUCUGCCAGGAACAAUGUUCCUGGCACUUCGACCACACAACUGUAUGUUCAUGUUCCAGUGUCCUUAUUCAUAGUUAAUUUCAAUCACAAAGUGACAAAUGUCAGUCUAUUAGUUAACAUGUGUAUCUCCGUUUCUUCUAAGUUUCAAUCGACCUACUCUGAAGUUGUUCCUAAGAUAGUGCCUCAAGCAAAGGGAAUGAGCCUCAGUUAGUGCAUCUAGCAAGUUCGUGAUCCUUUGUUGGGAUAAACAUUUGUGCAAGAGCAAUAGUCUCGUCACUAUUGGUUGUUAGUACUGUUGCUUGUUAAUUCUACUUUUUACUUCAGUUCGUAAUGCAAUAUAGUUAUGCUUGACGCACUAUAAGAAGACUGCCAUUUUGCCUUUUGACCUUGGUUUCUUCCUCCAGUAAGUAAAUGCACAUAGUUCUUUUGUAAAUUAGAGCAUACGACUUGUUGAUCGAUCUCUGAGCUCAGUAAUAAUAUUAAGCCUCAAUCUGUUUAUUGUGCACACAAGAUGAGAAAGAAUUGCUACCCAAGAAUAUGUACUUUAUAAACAUUUCAACUGUAAUCUGGAAAAAAAUUAAAUAAAUAAGGAAACAGUAUAUUCAUAUAUCUUUUUUGUACUUUGAUGGUGUCACACCACAAGUUCCGAGAUGGUAAUUGUGCUGCAUAUGUCUGCUCUCUUACUUUGUUUUUCUGAACAGGUAGGUUCUGGAAGAUGUCAUGAAGAAUUUCUUUCAGAGAAUUUGCGUGAGGAGUGUCUAAAUGAUUUUUAUCUUCUGAACAUAUUCUUGUAUGACUAACUGAAUUCAUUUUUUCAAAACGUCGGUACUUUUCCUUUUUCAUUUAUGUUGCUCGAUUGAGUCCACAUGCCUGCCCUUACUGAGUUUGCUCAAGAGUAAGAUAAACUUGAUAUUUAUGUUUGUCGGCAGCAGCGUGACUAGCUGAUCUGUAGCGGCGCGGAAGGUGAGCUUGGCUGCAGGUAGCAGCUCCUUUGGCUGAUCUGCGGCGAUGCAGAAGUUGGGUUGGAAAGAAGCACGACCGGCUGCUCUGAAGUGGGACGUAGGGAGAGCUUCGUAAGAGAUAGGGAGGGAGCUCUAUUGGCCCGUGCAUGACAUCCAACCCAAUGGCAUCAUGCCCUGGUAAGCUUCUUAUCUGUUCCAAUUCUUGCACUUGGUCUUUUUCUUUCUAACCCUAAAAAUAGAGUGUGCCUUGAUUCCUAAUCAUGCUUUAAAAGCUGAUAUCCACCUCGUUUAUCUUGCUACUAGUGGUAAUGUGUGCAAGUAUGAUUUUGUGAUAAUGCCAGAUGUUGUGUGCCUUCUUUAUUCAUGGUACGAGUACUCUAACCUGGCUCGUAUGAUAAUGUAUCACUGCUAUAGAGCACAAACGACGUGUUUUUUAAUUAUAUUUUAGUUGACAUGGAUUUCAUUUAUCUUGUGAAUUGUAUAGUCAGAUCAUGAAUUUUUAUGAUUGAUUGAUUUUCAUGGUCACAGGUAGGCAUGGUUGUGUGGCCACGGGGAAAAUGGAGCAAGUAGCAUGUGAGGAGUUUAACAAAUGGGGACAAGGGACAGUUUAGUUAAUUAAGGCUCUAUGUUAGUUUCAAGUUUUAUCCUUGUUGCGGUAAAAAAUUAUGGUUGGAUUAACCACCAUGUACAUCUUUAAUUACUUUUAAAUAAGAAAUAUAAUCAAAAUAUUCUUUUGAAUUGAUAAAAUUUAUAUAAUUUGUACAAGUACAUGAAGGUGGAACAGGAGGAAGGGUGGGAGAAGAUUAGAUAUCGUUUCAUUUUCUUGCAAGGAAAGGAUGGUUACGAAGAAAUGACAAGAAAUGGAGGGACAAUCAGUUUUAUUACUGUAUGGAUGGAAACCACAUGCCAGCUUGUCCAACAUAUUUCUACAUUGAGUCAAUUAUUCAAUCGCUAUAUUUUUUUUAUUCCAUGGCAAUGCAUGGUCAUUCAACUAUUCAAAUUUACGG
rnacentral:lncRNA from 1 species